GUGCUGGGAUUACAGGUAUAAGCCACCGCUCCUGCACAGCUUAGCUUUUAAUAUUUAACCACUCCGCACUGAAAUAAUUGUUACGUUAGGGAGGCCUGCGUUAGUGAGACCUGGCCUGCUACAUUCUCGCAUCUGUGGGGCGGGUACAGGAGACACAAGGGCCGAAGAGGCACAUGUCGGGCCUCUGGGUGCACCUCAGCGUGGGGGCCAGGACGUGGGGCAGAGUGCAGCCAGGGUUCUGACCCCUGGGGUGGAAGGGAGACUCCCAGGGCAUCAUGUCUCUACCGAAGUCCAGGGGGAUGAGCCCCUUUUCCUCUUCUUAGAUCCAGUCCCAAGACCCAAGCCAAGGGUGACCCUUCACACUGGCUCAGGCCUCUGCAGGCAUCUUGGCUGAGGCUCCCCAAGUAUGAGUGGUAAACCCUUGCCUACAGCCUCUGCACAAAGCAGCCCAGUAAAGAUGCCCCCAGCACAGACACCCCAAGCACAGAGCCCCCCAGCACAGAGCCCCCAACACAGACCCCCCCAACAGAGUCCCCAACACAGAGCUCCCAACACAGAGCUCCCCAGCAGAUGCCCAACAGAGUCCCCCAGUGUAGAACCCCCCCAGCAAAGCCCCUUUGCACAGACACCUCCAGCACAGACACCUCCAGCACAGAGCCCCCAGUACAGAGACCUGCAGCACAGAGCAGCCCCCCAGCACAGGAAUCGCCCCAGCGCAGGGCCCCCCAGCAGAGGGCCCCCCAGCACAGGAAUCGCCCCAGCGCAGGGCCCCCCAGCACAGGGAUCCCCCCAGCACAGGAAUCUCCCCAGCACAGGGCCCCCCAGCACGGGGACCCCCAGCACAGGUUCUCCAACGCCUGUCAAAGGUGGGCCCCGGGGCUCCCAGGCCCCUGCUCGCACAUCGCGGCUGACCCCGCAGGGCCCUUGGGUCCUGCCGCCAGCAGUCUGAGUGCGGUGCCCCGGGACUCAGCUAGCCUCCAGGCAGCAACGGCCUUCCCGGGCCGCAGGGCGCUUCGUCUGCCUUGGCCUCGGGCCGCCGGGGGCUGGGGCGGGGUUGCUGCCGGCUCCGCCCCCGCCUGCCAGCUUCUCUCCGCCGCGUGUCCCGGGGUUGGCCCGAGCCCGUGCGGGCCCUUUAAGGGCCGGGGGCGUGUGACGGGCCCGCCCCCUCCCCGCAGCGCCCGCCGUCCGUUAAGUGCGAGCCCGGGCGCAGGGGCCGGAUCUGGCCGGGGGCCGGAGGUGGUGUGGAAGCGGCGCGCCAUGUACACCAUCACCAAGGGGCCCAGCAAGCUGGUCGCGCAGCGCCGCACAGUGCCCCUCUCAGCUGAGGAGGAACCGAGAGCGGCGCUGGGGCACCUGAGCCCAGGAAGGCAAGCAGGCCGGCCGGGACGGCGAGUGCCUGGCGGAGCAGGCACAGCCCAGGACUCCCGGCUCCCACCUCCGGCUGUAGUCCAGGGCCAAGGCUUGUGUUCAAUCGUGUGAAUGGCCGGCGGGCCCCCUCCACGUCCCCAUCCCUCGAGGGGACCCAGGAGACCUACACACUGGCCCACGAGGAGAAUGUCCGCUUUGUGUCCGAAGGUAGCGAGCGGGGCCAGAGGGUGCGGCCCAGGCUGCUGGGUGCAGUAACAUGGACCCGGGAUGGCCCCACUUCAAGCUGACCCCCAGCUGCUGCAGGGCUGUGCUUUUCCUUGGCACUCUGCCCUUGUGUCCUGUGACCAGCCCUGUGUGGGGUUGGAGUCCAGGGUGACCAUCAGGCCCUGGGUGGGCGAUGGGGUGCCUGGGACCUGGCUCAGCCCGACUGCCCUCCUCCCACAGCCUGGCAGCAGGUGCAGCAGCAGCUGGAUGGUGGCCCAGCCGGUGAGGGCGGGCCGAGGCCUGUGCAGUACGUGGAGAGGACCCCCAAUCCCCGGCUGCAGAACUUCGUGCCCAUUGACCUGGACGAGUGGUGGGCACAACAGUUCCUGGCGAGAAUCACCAGCUGUUCCUAGUGGCUGCUGGGAGAGGGCGCUGCUACACAGCCGACCUGUGGCCAGGAGAGAAGCAUGGUGCCCCACCCACCCACUGUGCCUGGCUGGGUGCCGGCUACACCUGAAGUGCCAGCAUUUGGACUUUUGCACCUGUUGUUCCCUUGGCCUGGCUGUCCCAAGCAAGCUGCCAUGGCCAGGGGCCGAACCCAUCUGACCUCAGCCCUGCUCACUGUGCCCAGGGACCAGCAACCGGCCCCUGGGGCUGGUAGGGAGGAGCUCCAGGCUAAUAAAGUCGAGAAACUGCC